rnacentral:rRNA from 1 species
CCUACGGGAGGCAGCAGUGGGGAAUUUUGCGCAAUGCUCGUAAGAGUGACGCAGCGACGCCGCGUGAAUGACGAAGGCCUUCGGGUCGUAAAGUUCUUUCGACAGGGAAGAAAAUGCCUAUAAGUAACUGUGUAUGUAUUGACGGUACCUGUAUAAGCAGCCCCGGCUAACUUCGUGCCAGCAGCCGCGGUAAUACGGAGGGGGAGAGCGUUGUGCGGAGUGACUGUGCAUAAAGAGCACGAAGGCGGUGUUGUAAGUCAUAAGUAAAAGAUUAGAGCUCAACUUUAAUAAGGCUAGUGAAACUAUAAUACUAGAGUAUCAGAGAGGAUAGCAGAAUUCCUGGUGUAGCGGUGAAAUGCGUAGAUAUCAGGAGGAAUACCGUUAGCGAAGGCGGCAAUCUGGCUGGAAACUGACGCUGAGGUGCGAAAGCGUAGGUAGCAAACAGGAUUAGAUACCCUUGUAGUC